AGUGAUCCUAGUUCUAUUUAAAAAUGAAAAAUAUAGUUUAUCAAUGGUAUUUUAAAUGUUAUUCAUCUUAAUAUGAUCCUUUGAAGGCUACACAUUCCAAUAUCCAAGCUUUAAAGUAGUUUGUAUACACCCAACAUGCAAACCAUGACUUUAAUCAUUUCCUCACCAGAACUUCAAUUAUGCCAAGCACUUUUUAAUUAUCCUGUGGCCCACAAGUCUAUUCUUAGUAAAAGUCUGAUUUUAUGGAGGCAGUCUUCUCCUCUGUGGCAAAAAUCAACUCACCACUUAGCAACUCCACCCA
rnacentral:lncRNA from 1 species